rnacentral:rRNA from 1 species
GUGGAGCCUGCGGCUUAAUUUGACUCAACACGGGAAACCUCACCAGGCCCGGACACCGGAAGGAUUGACAGAUUGAGAGCUCUUUCUCGAUUCGGUGGGUGGUGGUGCAUGGCCGUUCUUAGUUGGUGGAGCGAUUUGUCUGGUUAAUUCCGAUAACGAACGAGACUCGGACCUACUAACUAGUCGACGGAUCUUCCGUCCGACGGUGUCCAGUUCGUAAAGUCUUCUUAGAGGGAUAAGCGGCAAGUGUAGCCGCAGGAGAUCGAGCAAUAACAGGUCUGUGAUGCCCUUAGAUGUUCUGGGCCGCACGCGCGCUACACUGAAGUGUUCAACGUGUUGUCCCUGUCCGAGAGGAUCGGGUAACCCGCUGAAAGCAUUUCUUGAUAGGGAUGGGGGCUUGCAAUUGUUCCCCCUGAACGAGGAAUUCCCAGUAAGCGCAAGUCAAUAGCUUGCGUUGAUUACGUCCCUGCCCUUUGUACACACCGCCCGUCGCUACUACCGAUUGAAUGAUUUAGUGAGGCCUUCGGACUGGCGCCCUGGGUCUGAUGCAGUUGGCCUUAGUGCCUUGUGUAUCGCCUAGGGUCGACGGAAAGAUGUCCAAACUUGAUCAUUUAGAGGAAGUAAAAGUCGUAACAAGGUUUCC